rnacentral:lncRNA from 1 species
AGGGCUUGAACCCGUGACUGAGCCCCUGGUGGGAAGGCAGGGCCAACCAGAGGAGUUCAGCUGCAUGCAAUGUGCCUGAGUGACUGAAAAGGGUGGAACCAGGAUCAACCCUUCCCCAGACCUCAUUUAAGGGUUAGCAGUGGAAGUAAGAGUAUCUUGUUGAUGAUCCUUGUGUGUUUGAGGGUUUUUGAAGGUAAGUAGCUUCUUUCUUUUGUUUUUGUGCUCGUUGCUGUUGUAUUUGAAUAAGUCCUCACUUGCUACAGCCUGGGACCUUGCUGCUCUGCUGUUAUUAUUGUGCUUUCCAUUGUGUUACAGUGAUGUUGUCCUACUUGGUAAGGUGCGUGAGUACAGAAUGAAAGAACUGUGGAAACUGGUCUAGACACAACUUAGUUGAGUGUAUGUUAAUGUGGUGCUGUUUUCCUUUGUUGCUUGUUUGUUAAUUUUAAUGUUAGACACAGUUUAGGAAAGCAUCUUUCUCCUUUGAUUCUUACCGCUUUCAGGCUAACCAAGCAGUACUUUUUCUGACAUCUGAAGUGUAUUAUAGAAGCAACAGGUAACGUCCUCUUGGUGUGGGUAGUUCUUGUCUGAGAUCUUGAACUUGGCCCUAAACUGGGAUUUCUCAGUAUUAAGCUUAAGAAAAGACCUGUGUGUCAAAAUAUUCACUAUUUGAGCAUUAACCAGCUUGGGAGAUUCCUGUUUUCUGUAUGUUGAAGAAAUAACUAUUUACUUAGCUCUAGGCAGAGCUCUCUGUCAGAGAUCAGUAACUCAGAAAAUUAUUUGAUAUGGUAAGAAGAGUAUUUUCCCGUGAAAUAUACUAUUAUAAUAUGCAAGCACUACAUUGUAGAUCAGUGUCCAUUAUCAAAUUUCUUCCUUUCUCUUGGAAAGAAGCUUACAUGUACUACAAAGACUUCAAUUUUUUUUUUUUUUUAAGGGAAAUGUCUCUCUUCUGGGUCUAGCAACUGUCACUGGUUUUAAAUUGCUAGGAGAAGUCAACCUGACAGGGCCUUCACUUCUUGUUUUGGUCAGUGAGGAGAGGCGUUGUACCUACAUGUGCUCCACAGGUGAUGUGGUUUGCAGAAGUCUGAACAGUGGUCUUAGUAUUAAGAGGGAUAGUCUCAAUAGGUCAGAAGAGCCUCCUAUUAUGGAAACACUUGCAGAGAAGUUACAGAUCCAGGAAACAAGGGUUUUAUUCCACUCAAAUAAUCCUGGAUACUGGAAAGUAGCUUUGAAAUGAAUCACUGCAGAGACAUUCACAAGACACUGUCUGAAAAUUUUAUCAAAGA